rnacentral:rRNA from 1 species
UACGGAGGGUGCAAGCGUUAUCCGGAUUCACUGGGUUUAAAGGGUGCGUAGGUGGGUCUGUAAGUCAGUGGUGAAAUCUCCAAGCUUAACUUGGAACUGCCGUUGAUACUAUAGACCUUGAAUGCUGUGGAGGUAAGCGGAAUAUGUCAUGUAGCGGUGAAAUGCUUAGAUAUGACAUAGAACACCAAUUGCGAAGGCAGCUCACUACCCAGAUAUUGACACUGAGGCACGAAAGCGUGGGGAUCAAACAGG